rnacentral:tRNA from 1 species
CCUACCUAAACGAUACGCCAAGUGACGUGCCCACACAAAUUGUCUGAUGAAUUUAAAAAAGAAAAAUCUUUUACAGGCUUGUAGCUCAGCCGGUGAGAGCGCACCCCUGAUAAGGGUGAGGUCGGUGGUUCAAGUCCACUCAGGCCUACCAACUGUAUUUACCCGAAAGUACAGAAACAUCAACAAGGGGGCUAUAGCUCAGCCGGGAGAGCGCCUGCUUUGCACGCAGGAGGCCAGCGGUUCGAUCCCGCUUAGCUCCACCAUGCAAUAAUAAAUUAAUCAGUAAGUUAAAUUAAAUAAGUAAUGCUCUUUAAAAAUCUGGAAUUAAUUGACAAUUAAAAAUACACUAAAUAAAAUAAUAUAUUUAGUAGAUAUCUCUCUCAAAAAAGAAAGCUUAAAUCCUAGCUGUAUAUAUAGAAAAUAGAAUAGUCACCACGUACUAAUAAUUUUAGUAUUAACUAAAGUAUAAUAUAACUACUUAUGUUAAUAAAAUUUAAAAAUAUUCUAAACUCUAAACAAACAGCUCAGGGUUGUGA